UCUCCGCCGUAGCUCCUUCGAUUCUCCGGCACCGGGAAAAAUUCACACGAAAAAGGAGAGAACGCAAAUGGCGAUUAAGCCAUAUAUGAGAUCGAUUUUGAUUGUUGCUAUUGCUUUCUUAUCUGUUUUACCAGCUACUCUCUGUAUCGAAGAUAAAUGUGCUGCUUGUACUGCCAUUGCUAAAUUGUCCUACCUCAAUCUCUAGGAAUAAAAUGAAGAAAAGCAAAUCAUCCUAGCUGUCUGCCAUGAUAUUAUCUCACCCAAGGUUUAAAAUGGAGAUAUUAGGUUCUUCUAGCGUGAUUUGUAAAAUUGGAUACUUAUAUAUGACUGUGCAGUGAGAACUUCUUCUUACAAGGAAAGACAGAUGAAGUUGUGUUAGUCAAGAUUGAUGGUUUUGAAAUACGGAUGGAAACAUGUCGAAGGAACUCGGCAGAAUGACCCCGUAACUUUGGGAGAAAAGGGUGUUGAUAGGUUAUAUGUAUCCCUGUUAUGUUUUGAUAAUCUAACAAACUUAAUGAUAAGAACCAGAUAAGCAAAUUGUUACACAUCUUCAAGUACUUAAAGAACAACAAGUCUCAAGUCAGGGACGUGGUUCAACUCUUCAGAGUCAAAGAAAUAACAGAGGGAACAGAUGACCACCAGUUCCCUUGGUGACUGUACAAGUCAACUCUCCACAGAUGUAAAGUUGCUGCUUGCACACGAAACAGUGCAAAAACAGUGCAACAGUCAACUUUAUGGGGAAUGCCCUUUACCUAACUUGCUUGCAUCAUUCAAGUGAUGUCACAAAUAAAUUAUUAACAUCAAGCAAAAGUAAAACAAAACACUUGCACAUUCAAGAAUCGAUCAAGCAUUCUCUCAAGUUUGUGUCAAUCUUGCAAGUGAUUCUCAAGGGCAUCAAGAACAAAGAACAACGUAACGAAGGACCAGUUUCCUGUAUUGAGUCAUUACAUGUCCUAAGUUGUGUUGCACCUUUAUUAAAA